GAUGAACGCUGGCGGCGUGCCUAAUACAUGCAAGUCGAGCGAACAGAUGAGAAGCUUGCUUCUCUGAUGUUAGCGGCGGACGGGUGAGUAACACGUGGGUAUCCUACCUAUAAGACUGGGAUAACUCCGGGAAACCGGGGCUAAUACCGGAUAAUAUUUUGAACCGCAUGGUUCAAUAGUGAAAGACGGUUUCGGCUGUCACUUAUAGAUGGACCCGCGCCGUAUUAGCUAGUUGGUAAGGUAACGGCUUACCAAGGCGACGAUACGUAGCCUACCUGAGAGGGUGAUCGGCCACACUGGAACUGAGACACGGUCAGACUCCUACGGGAGGCAGCAGUAGGGAAUCUUCCGCAAUGGGCGAAAGCCUGACGGAGCAACGCCGCGUGAGUGAUGAAGGUCUUCGGAUCGUAAAACUCUGUUGUUAGGGAAGAACAAAUUUGUUAGUAACUGAACAAGUCUUGACGGUACCUAACCAGAAAGCCACGGCUAACUACGUGCCAGCAGCCGCGGUAA
rnacentral:rRNA from 1 species